rnacentral:rRNA from 2 species
UACGGAGGGUGCGAGCGUUGUCCGGAAUCACUGGGCGUAAAGGGCGCGUAGGCGGCAUGCCAAGCGUGUGGUGAAAGCCCGGGGCUCAACCCCGGGUCGGCCGUGCGGACUGGCGUGCUCGAGCACUGUAGGGGCGGGUGGAAUUCCGGGUGUAGCGGUGGAAUGCGUAGAGAUCCGGAAGAACACCGGUGGCGAAGGCGGCCCGCUGGGCAGGAAGACACCGCAAGGUGUCGGCUGACGCUGAGGCGCGACAGCGUGGGGAGCAAACAGG